rfam:Candidatus Baumannia cicadellinicola strain B-GSS, complete genome.
GGAGGAGUGGUCGAGUGGCUUAAGGCACCGGUCUUGAAAACCGGCGAAGGGAUACUUUCCGUGGGUUCGAAUCCCACCUCCUCCU